GACGAGGUUAAGUCAUUCCAAGUUUGUAUCACCCUAUACAAAGAUGUAAAUUUGGAAUAUUACUGGUGUAUAAAUAAGAUUGCAAUGCAAUGUUUCUCUUUUUUACUGGUUCAUAUGAUACUCAUUCUAUUCCAUUAAUAUUUUUUUGCUGCUAUUUUAAUUGGUUUAUAAUCAUGUAUUGUUCACUACUUUAUGUAAAAAAAAAGUUUAUACUGAUGGUGUUUUUAUUAUUACUUAUAGCAGAUAUAAAAAUUUAUGAAGCCUCUUCAAGUGCGGCAUUUCUACUCUUGGCAAUUUCUUUUUCUUAUCAUCAUUUCAUUCAUUCAAUCUAUUCAAUCCAUUUUUCAUUUUCAUUCAUCAAUGUCUUUUAAAGAUUCUGUUUGUUAGGGCGAAAGGGUGUUAGAAAUUCAUUCUCAUUCGUGUGGUUUUCUCUUAUGUGCUUUCAAUGUAGGAAUCUGAUGUAGGAUAGAGAAAGGCAAGUAAAAGAAAGUUGAGGCAUGGUGUUUCUACAUGCCCAUCAAUUCUUUCUCCAGAAUUACAAUCCCAAAAACUCAAGAAACGACCCAAAAUACAAUCUUCCAUUGACAAAGUAUUUACUUGUGGUUGCUAUUGCGAUUGUUGAAUGAAAUUCGUGUGGAUCUUUUUGAGCUCAAGUAGGGAAAUAUGGUCUACAUUUCCUAGGCAGGAGGAAGCGAUGAAGUUUUCCAAGGAGCAUGAUCAUGCUCGUGUUUUCAGUUACCAAGAUCAUUUUAAUGGGCAAAGAAGGUCCCUUGUUUCAACUUAUAUAGAAUUCUGGAAAAGAUACAAGAAUACAGAUUCAAAUUUUUGCCACCAUUAUGAAGUGAUUCAGGAGGUGUAAAUCUAUCGAUACUCUCAGAUCAACCAAGAUAAAAACUGUGAAAUUACUGCCGCCCCCUUGGUCUUUAAGGAACACGAUUGUUGGGACAUCUUGCUGGUCUAACUGUGUUCUAAUAUUUGUAACGAAUGCACACUUAAGUGAAUCAAUUCAGGGUCUUAGCUCUCUCUAGGGUCUUUUGGUAUAACUGCAAGAGAGCUUGCUCAUGGUCAUGUUCCUUUCUCAAGAUACCCUCCAAUAAAGGUGCAUAGCUUGCUCAAUUUAUUAGACUCUAAUCACUUUAAUUACGAAUAGAGUUUAAUCUGAA